GGGAAAUGGUCCCAAUCGUUUUUCCAUAGGGAAUUUAAGAAACACUUAACAUAUGGUCUGUGUUUCGUGUAGGCGUACCCUGGUGUGACCUUUUGAUAACCGUGUAAAUCUCUCUAGGACAAGGUGACUUUUAUCAAUAUAUUUACCUGCAAAAAAUGAAAUGUUAAUUAGCUGCUAAUGGGGCUAUCAUAAAGAACUGCAAAUACCAUGUGAUCUGGACAAGACUGCCAAAUCGAGGCAAUGGUGGAGCACACACCUGGAAAAAGAGAAAUAACACCCUGUCUGUGUGUACUUUCACCACCAGAGAGAGCUAUUUGUCCAGGUUUUCUGUCCACUGAUCUCUUUCAGUGAGUAGAAUGUGACGUUGAUUUGCAGUGAGAGACUUAUGAUCCACAGAUGACGCAAUCUCAAUCGCACUGCACACUGCCCUUCAACCUGGACCAUUGAGAGCUUCCUGACCGGUUGCAUCACCGCCUGGUAUGGCAACUGCUUGGCAUCUGACUAUAAGGUGCUACAGAGG
ensembl:lncRNA